rnacentral:tRNA from 1 species
GCUGGUGUAGCACAGCCGGUAGUGCAGCUGAUUCGUAAUCAGCAGGUCGCAGGUUCGAAUCCCGUCACCAGCUCCA